UUAAAUUGAAGAGUUUGAUCAUGGCUCAGAUUGAACGCUGGCGGCAGGCCUAACACAUGCAAGUCGAACGGUAACAGGAAACAGCUUGCUGUUUCGCUGACGAGUGGCGGACGGGUGAGUAAUGUCUGGGAAACUGCCUGAUGGAGGGGGAUAACUACUGGAAACGGUAGCUAAUACCGCAUAACGUCGCAAGACCAAAGAGGGGGACCUUCGGGCCUCUUGCCAUCGGAUGUGCCCAGAUGGGAUUAGCUUGUUGGUGGGGUAACGGCUCACCAAGGCGACGAUCCCUAGCUGGUCUGAGAGGAUGACCAGCCACACUGGAACUGAGACACGGUCCAGACUCCUACGGGAGGCAGCAGUGGGGAAUAUUGCACAAUGGGCGCAAGCCUGAUGCAGCCAUGCCGCGUGUAUGAAGAAGGCCUUCGGGUUGUAAAGUACUUUCAGCGGGGAGGAAGGGAGUAAAGUUAAUACCUUUGCUCAUUGACGUUACCCGCAGAAGAAGCACCGGCUAACUCCGUGCCAGCAGCCGCGGUAAUACGGAGGGUGCAAGCGUUAAUCGGAAUUACUGGGCGUAAAGCGCACGCAGGCGGUUUGUUAAGUCAGAUGUGAAAUCCCCGGGCUCAACCUGGGAACUGCAUCUGAUACUGGCAAGCUUGAGUUUCGUAGAGGGGGGUAGAAUUCCAGGUGUAGCGGUGAAAUGCGUAGAGAUCUGGAGGAAUACCGGUGGCGAAGGCGGCCCCCUGGACGAAGACUGACGCUCAGGUGCGAAAGCGUGGGGAGCAAACAGGAUUAGAUACCCUGGUAGUCCACGCCGUAAACGAUGUCGACUUGGAGGUUGUGCCCUUGAGGCGUGGCUUCCGGAGCUAACGCGUUAAGUCGACCGCCUGGGGAGUACGGCCGCAAGGUUAAAACUCAAAUGAAUUGACGGGGGCCCGCACAAGCGGUGGAGCAUGUGGUUUAAUUCGAUGCAACGCGAAGAACCUUACCUGGUCUUGACAUCCACGGAAGUUUUCAGAGAUGAGAAUGUGCCUUCGGGAACCGUGAGACAGGUGCUGCAUGGCUGUCGUCAGCUCGUGUUGUGAAAUGUUGGGUUAAGUCCCGCAACGAGCGCAACCCUUAUCCUUUGUUGCCAGCGGUCCGGCCGGGAACUCAAAGGAGACUGCCAGUGAUAAACUGGAGGAAGGUGGGGAUGACGUCAAGUCAUCAUGGCCCUUACGACCAGGGCUACACACGUGCUACAAUGGCGCAUACAAAGAGAAGCGACCUCGCGAGAGCAAGCGGACCUCAUAAAGUGCGUCGUAGUCCGGAUUGGAGUCUGCAACUCGACUCCAUGAAGUCGGAAUCGCUAGUAAUCGUGGAUCAGAAUGCCACGGUGAAUACGUUCCCGGGCCUUGUACACACCGCCCGUCACACCAUGGGAGUGGGUUGCAAAAGAAGUAGGUAGCUUAACCUUCGGGAGGGCGCUUACCACUUUGUGAUUCAUGACUGGGGUGAAGUCGUAACAAGGUAACCGUAGGGGAACCUGCGGUUGGAUCACCUCCUUACCUUAAAGAAGC
rnacentral:rRNA from 1 species